CUCCGUUCCUUCUCUUCACUCUCUCCCCGCUGCCUCUCUCCACUCAUUUUCUUUGCCUCUCUCUCCUCGCUUUCUCUCAAUCGGCAAAAUGAAUCGGGUCUCAGAUUUUUAAGAAAUCGAUUCAAACUCGAUUAAACGAUUGUAUUGUUGGUGGUUGAUGAUUGUAUGUAUUUACGGGGUUGAUCGUUGAUGGCGGUUUCGUUGUUUGACGGCGGUGCGUCGGUGUUGAUGCACUACAAGAAAAGCGGC
rnacentral:lncRNA from 1 species